rnacentral:lncRNA from 1 species
CAAUGGUGAAUGUCCAAUAACAUGGUGGUCGGUGCUUGGAUCUUAGUUACAUCAAAUGCAAAAACCUUAAGUCUUGACAAUGUAUAUCCAUAUAUAGCAUUCCAAGGCUCCAUGCAUCACAUGCACUGGAUUUCAAUUUCAUCAAAAAUUAGAUUAUGGGAUCUCAUCUGAAACUUAUCUCACAAGUCUAAAGACCAUAUAAUUUCAUAUCUAGGGUUCGAUCAUGGAUUGAUAAUACUUAUCAUUUACAAAAAUACAUCAAGAACAUCAAUAAAAAAAAUCUGAUAUUGACAUAGUUUGAACU